rnacentral:tRNA from 1 species
GCUCCUGUGGUGGAAUUGGUAGACACACUGCACUCAAAAUGCAGCGCCCUUGCGGGCAUGCGGGUUCGAGUCCCGCCGGGAGCA